rnacentral:rRNA from 1 species
AGUGAACGCUGGCGGUAGGCCUAACACAUGCAAGUCGAACGGCAGCACAGUAAGAGCUUGCUCUUACGGGUGGCGAGUGGCGGACGGGUGAGGAAUACAUCGGAAUCUACUUUUUCGUGGGGGAUAACGUAGGGAAACUUACGCUAAUACCGCAUACGACCUACGGGUGAAAGCAGGGGAUCUUCGGACCUUGCGCGAUUGAUUGAGCCGAUGUCGGAUUAGCUAGUUGGCGGGGUAAAGGCCCACCAAGGCGACGAUACGUAGCAGAUCUGAGAGGAUGAUCAGCCGCACUGGAACUGAGACACGGUCCAGACUCCUACGGGAGGCAGCAGUGGGGAAUAUUGGACAAUGGGCGAAAGCCUGAUCCAGCCAUGCCGCGUGAGUGAUGAAGGCCUUCGGGUUGUAAAGCUCUUUUGUUGGGAAAGAAAAGCAGCAGGUUAAUACGUCGCUGUUCUGACGGUACCCAAAGAAUAAGCACCGGCUAACUUCGUG